rnacentral:rRNA from 1 species
UACGUAGGGUGCGAGCGUUAAUCGGAAUUACUGGGCGUAAAGCGUGCGCAGGCGGCUUUGCAAGACAGAUGUGAAAUCCCCGGGCUCAACCUGGGAACUGCAUUUGUGACUGCAAGGCUAGAGUACGGCAGAGGGGGAUGGAAUUCCGCGUGUAGCAGUGAAAUGCGUAGAUAUGCGGAGGAACACCAAUGGCGAAGGCAAUCGCCUGGGCCUGUACUGACGCUCAUG